GUCCACACCGUAAACGUUGGGCGCUAGGUGUGGGGUCCAUUCCACGGGAUUCCGUGCCGCAGCUAACGCAUUAAAGCGCCCCGCCUGGGGAGUACGGCCGCAAGGCUAAAACUCAAAGGAAUUGACGGGGGCCCGCACAAGGCGGCGGAGCAUGCGGAUUAAUUCGAUGCAACGCGAAGAACCUUACCUGGGUUUGACAUACACCCUGCCGCCUCAGAGAUGGGGCUUCUUUUGGGGGUGUACAGGUGGUGCAUGGCUGUCGU
rnacentral:rRNA from 1 species